rnacentral:rRNA from 1 species
AGCAGCGGCGGUUGACUAAUGCCUAGGAAUCUGCCUGGUAGUGGGGGGGACAACGUUUCGUAAAGGAACGCUAAUACCGCAUACGUCCUACGGAGAAAGACAGGGGACCGUUCGGGUCCGUUGUCGCUAUCAGAUGAGCCUACGGUUCGGGAUUAGCUAGUUGGUGAGGUAAUGGCUCACCAAGGCUGCGAUCCGUAACUGGUCUGAGAGGAUGAUCAGUCACACUGGAACUGAGACACGGUCCAGACUCCUACGGGAGGCAGCAGUGGGGUAAUAUUGGACAAUGGGCGAAAGCCUGAUCCAGCUAUGCCGCGUGUGUGAAGAAGGUCUUCGGAUUGUAAACGACUACGUUUAAGUUGGGAGGAAGGGCUAUUAACCUAAGUACGUUAGUGUUUGACGUUACGACAGAAUAAGCACCGGCUAACUUCGUGCCAGCAGCCGCGGUAAUACGGAAGGUGCAAGCGUUAAUCGGAAUGUCGACGCGGCCGGAGUCGGUGGAGGG